rnacentral:rRNA from 1 species
GGUAAACGGCGGCCGUAACUAUAACGGUCCUAAGGUAGCGAAAUUCCUUGUCGGGUAAGUUCCGACCUGCACGAAUGGCGUAACGAUGGCCACACUGUCUCCACCCGAGACUCAGUGAAAUUGAAAUUGCUGUGAAGAUGCAGUGUACCUGCGGCAAGACGGAAAGACCCCGUGAACCUUUACUAUAGCUUUACACUGGACUUUGAGAUUGCUUGUGUAGGAUAGGUGGGAGGCUAUGAAGGCUAGACGCUAGUUUAGUCGGAGCCAAGCUUGAAAUACCACCCUGGCAAUCUUGAGGUUCUAACCUAGUACAGAGAGACUGUACAGAGACAGUGUAUGGUGGGUAGUUUGACUGGGGCGGUCUCCUCCCAAAGAGUAACGGAGGAGUACAAAGAUACCCUCAAUACGGUCGGAAAUCGUAUGAAGAGUGCAAAGGCAAAAGGGUGUUUGACUGCGAGACAGACAAGUCGAGCAGGGACGAAAGUCGGUCUUAGUGAUCCGGUGGUUCUGCAUGGAAGGGCCAUCGCUCAACGGAUAAAAGGUACUCCGGGGAUAACAGGCUGAUACCGCCCAAGAGUUCAUAUCGACGGCGGUGUUUGGCACCUCGAUGUCGGCUCAUCACAUCCUGGGGCUGAAGCAGGUCCCAAGGGUAUGGCUGUUCGCCAUUUAAAGUGGUACGCGAGCUGGGUUCAGAACGUCGUGAGACAGUUCGGUCCCUAUCUGCCGUAGGCGUAGGAAAUUUGAGAGGCUCUGCUCCUAGUACGAGAGGACCGGAGUGGACGCAUCCCUGGUGUUCCGGUUGUUGUGCCAAUGGCAUUGCCGGGUAGCUAUAUGCGGAGCGGAUAACCGCUGAAAGCAUCUAAGCGGGAAGCCCACCUCAAGAUGAGAUUUCCCAGAGAGAUCUGUAAGGCUCGUUGAAGACUACGACGUUGAUAGGUUGGGUGUGUAAGCAUAGCGAUAUGUUGAGCUAACCAAUACUAAUUGGCCGAGAGUUUUGACCAU